rnacentral:rRNA from 1 species
GCAUACUGCCGUGAAUACGUUCCCGGGCCUUGUACACACCGCCCGUCACACCAUGAGAGUUGGGAAUACCCGAAGCCUGUGAGCCAACUUUUAAAGAGGCAGCAGUCGAAGGUAGAAUCAAUGAUUGGGGUGAAGUCGUAACAAGGUAUC